AUGAAUGCAGCCAGGAAUAUCCCAUUAAGAUGUAUGAGUCAUUUAUGCCUCAGUGUGGAUGAGAUACUCAGAGCCUUUCUUGGGGUAGCAUGUGAGAAGAUUCCAGCAGCCGGCCACCUACGAUGGAGACCUCUUAGGGAGAAGAGGGCCCAGGCAGGACAGCGGAGUCCAUUUGAAGAUGCUCUCCUUCUCCCAUGGGAAACCUCUGAGAUGCUCCAGAGAAAACAGGACACAAGGGUACCUGAGCUGGAAGCCGAGGACGGAGGUUGUCGUGGUCUUCCAAAGAAGGUUCUGAAAGAAGAAGAUGGGACUGCAUGGGAAUCCAGGGAUUUAUGCGACUCGAUCCUGCGUUUGUAAAAACAGUGUUAUUAUUCCUAGCCAUCUGACAGGGUCAUCGUGCAAGUCCCAGAAGUACUGUCUGUGGAAGUGAUUUGAAAAUGGCAAAGGGCUAAGAGGUGUCUCUUUUGGAGAAGCAGCCUGUGGCUGGGAGGUCACUGGGAUUGGACUUUAACAGUUGGGGAAGCCAUGUGCGUGCCUCCUCAGAGCCUCGGUUUUAUCACCUGGGAAGUGGAAACGAUAAUACCCACCU
rnacentral:lncRNA from 1 species